GAUGAAGAACGUAGUGAAAUGCGAUACGUAAUGUGAAUUGCAGAAUUCAGUGAAUCAUCGAAUCUUUGAACGCAUAUCGCGCUCUUUGGUAUUCCGAAGAGCAUGCUUGUUUGAGUAUCAGUAAACACCUCAACCUCUUCUUGAUUUUUCAAAAGGAGGGUGGACUUGAGCUAUCCCAACAACCUUUACCGGUCGGCGGGCGGCUUGAAAUGCAGGUGCAGCUGGACUUUUAUCUGAGCUAAAAGCAUAUCUAUUUAGUCCUCGUCAAACAGGAUUAUUACUUUUGCUGCAGCUAACAUAAAGGAUAAUUGUCCUCUUUGCUGACUGAUGCAGGAUUUUACGACACUUUAUGUGUUGUUCAACUCGAUCUCAAAUCAAGUAAGACUACCCGCUGAACUUAAGCAUAUCAAUAAGCGGAGGA
rnacentral:misc_RNA from 1 species